GUCAAUGGCAUAUCGCCCUGCAGCCCAAAACUAUUUGCCCACUGAAGCUAAGCAGGGUUGAGCCUGGACAGUACUUGGAUGGGAGACCUUCUGGGGAAACUAGGUUGCUGCUGGAA
ensembl:rRNA 5S_rRNA 5S ribosomal RNA